GACGUAGGGCGCGCGCGUUGUCCGGAUUUAUUGGGCGUAAAGAGCUCGUAGGCGGCUUGUCGCGUCGACCGUGAAAACUCGCAGCUCAACUGCGAGCCUGCGGUCGAUACGGGCAGGCUAGAGUUCGGUAGGGGAGACUGGAAUUCCUGGUGUAGCGGUGAAAUGCGCAGAUAUCGGGAGGAACACCGGUGGCGAAGGCGGUUCUCUGGGCCUUACCUGACGCUGAGGAGCGAAAGCGUGGGGAGCGAACAGG
rnacentral:rRNA from 1 species